rnacentral:rRNA from 1 species
GAUGAACGCUGGCGGCGUGCCUAAUACAUGCAAGUCGAGCGAACAGACGAGGAGCUUCCUCCUCGGACGUGAGCGGCGGACGGGUGAGUAACACGUGGAUAACCUACCUAUAAGACUGGCAGAACGUCGGGAAACCGGACCUCAUACCGGAUAAUAUAUUGAACCGCAUGGCUCAAUAGUGAAAGACGGUUUUGCUGUCACUUCUAGAUGGAUCCGCGCCGCAUUAGCAAGUUGGUAAGGUAACGGCUUACCAAGGCCACGAUGCGUAGCCGACCGGACAAGGUGAGCUGGCCCACUGGAGCUGGUGCACGGUCACGACUCCUACGAGAGGCGGCAGUAGGGACUCUUCGGCACAGGGGUAGAGCAUGACGGAGCAACGCGGCGUCAGUGAUGAAGGUCUUCGGUUCGUAAGAAUCUGUUAUUAGGAAUGAACAAAGGUGUAAGUAGCUAAGCACGUAUUGACGGUACCUGAUCAGGAAGCCACGGCUAACUACGUG